rnacentral:rRNA from 1 species
GACGAACGCUGGCGGCGUGCUUAACACAUGCAAGUCGAGCGGUAAGGCCUAGCUUGCUGGGUACACGAGCGGCGAACGGGUGAGUAACACGUGGGUGACCUGCCUUCAGCUCUGGGAUAAGCCUGGGAAACUGGGUCUAAUACCGGAUAUGAUCUUCUGGUGCAUGCCGGGGGAUGGAAAGUUUUUUCGGCUGGAGAUGGGCCCGCGGCCUAUCAGCUUGUUGGUGGGGUGAUGGCCUACCAAGGCGACGACGGGUAGCCGGCCUGAGAGGGCGACC